rnacentral:misc_RNA from 1 species
AACGCACAUUGCGCCCCCUGGUAUUCCGGGGGGCAUGCCUGUUCGAGCGUCAUUGCAACCCUCAAGCUCGGCUUGUGUGAUGGGCGACCGUCCUUCCCCUAGGGGCGGGACGCGUCCGAAAAGCAGUGGCUAGGCCGCGAUUCCGGCGCCUGAGCGAAUGGGACUUCCACCGCUUCUAGGACCGGCCGGCACUUGGCCUUUAAACACGGUCUUAACUGACCAUCUAGGUUGACCUCGGAUCAGGUAGGGAUACCCGCUGAACUUAA